UACGAAGGGGGCUAGCGUUGCUCGGAAUUACUGGGCGUAAAGCGCACGUAGGCGGCUUCUUAAGUCGGUGGUGAAAUCCUGGAGCUCAACUCCAGAACUGCCUUCGAUACUGGGAAGCUCGAGUCCGGGAGAGGUGAGUGGAACUGCGAGUGUAGAGGUGAAAUUCGUAGAUAUUCGCAAGAACACCAGUGGCGAAGGCGGCUCACUGGCCCGGUACUGACGCUGAGGUGCGAAAGCGUGGGGAUCAAACAGG
rnacentral:rRNA from 1 species